UACGAAGGGGGCGAGCGUUGUUCGGAUUUACUGGGCGUAAAGGGCGCGUAGGCGGCCCUGUUUGUCGCGUGUGAAAGCCCCGGGCUCAACCUGGGAACGGCGCGCGAUACGGCGGGGCUAGAGAUCGGGAGAGGAGCGUGGAAUUCCCAGUGUAGAGGUGAAAUUCGUAGAUAUUGGGAAGAACACCGGUGGCGAAGGCGGCGCUCUGGACCGAGACUGACGCUGAGGCGCGAAAGCGUGGGGAGCAAACAGGAUUAGAUACCCUGGUAGUCCACGCUGUAAACGAUGUGUGCUAGACGUUGGGGAGCCUAGCUCUUCGGUGUCGCAGCUAACGCGGUAAGCACACCGCCUGGGGAGUACGGCCGCAAGGUUAAAACUCAAAG
rnacentral:rRNA from 1 species